rnacentral:rRNA from 1 species
CCCUUAGAUGUCCUGGGCUGCACGCGCGCUACACUGAUGCAUGCAACGAGUUCUAUCCUUGGCCGGAAGGCCUGGGUAAUCUGUGAACGUGCAUCGUGAUAGGGAUAGAUUAUUGCAAUUAUUAAUCUUGAACGAGGAAUUCCUAGUAAACGCAAGUCAUCAGCUUGCAUUGAUUACGUCCCUGCCCUUUGUACACACCGCCCGUCGCACCUACCGAUCGAAGGUAAUGAUGAGCCCUCAGGAUUGUGGCCUCGUCGCGUCAGCGUCUUGGCUGCGAGAAUCUGUGCAAAUCCCUACCUUUAGAGGAAGGUGAAGUCGUAACA